rnacentral:rRNA from 1 species
GACGAACGCUGGCGGCGUGCUUAACACAUGCAAGUCGAACGGAAAGGCCCUGCUUUUGUGGGGUGCUCGAGUGGCGAACGGGUGAGUAACACGUGAGUAACCUUCCCUUGACUUUGGGAUAACUUCAGGAAACUGGGGCUAAUACCGGAUAGGAGCUCCUGCUGCAUGGUGGGGGUUGGAAAGUUUCGGCGGUUGGGGAUGGACUCGCGGCUUAUCAGCUUGUUGGUGGGGUAGUGGCUUACCAAGGCUUUGACGGGUAGCCGGCCUGAGAGGGUGACCGGCCACAUUGGGACUGAGAUACGGCCCAGACUCCUACGGGAGGCAGAAGUGGGGAGUAUUGCAAAAUGGGCGGAAGCCUGAUGCAGAAACGCCGCGUGCGGGAUGACGGCCUUCGGGUUGUAAACCGCUUUCGCCUGUGACGAAGCGUGAGUGACGGUAAUGGGUAAAGAAGCACCGGCUAACUACGUG